ACAGUAAUAACAAAUGCUGCAACACUACCUUCUGUAUUCUUUUAGGGUCCUUGAUGGGAGCCUCGCGGGGUGGCACCUUUCCAAACAGCUUCCAUCCGGCAUCCCGCUGCUCUGCUGAAUGACUGUCCUUCACUUUCCUGGCAAACAGGCUCCUGAAACCGAAAGGGAAGCGGAAUAAACAUAUUUCUAUGAUCAAUGGAGAGCUUUGUCAUCAACACUUUGCAGCUGACAGACCAGCUGGUAGAAAGAUUUAAAGAUCAACAAACAUCUUUGUCAUCAACACUUUACAGCUGACAGACAUAGAAAGAUUCAGAAGAUCAACGGCCAGCUUUGUCAUCAACACUGAGUGGCAGCUGACAGACCUUGUAGAAAGAUUUAAAGCCCAAAUAAAGAACUUUCAGGAUUGUUUGGUUUUGCCGGCGCCAGUGGACCAAAGCGGUAGUGUUUUGCCAGAAAAAGACCACAUUUCCCAUGAGGACUAGCGCAUAUAGCCUCAUACUGACAUGAAUCCCGCUGUAAUUUUGGCACAAAUAUUAUGUCUGUAGUGGCUAUGCUGAUGUUAAAUAGCAGACACUAUCAAGAAAUGAUCUUGGAUUGCGCUACAAACAUGACACUACUACCAAGAAUGUAUCGGGGCGGAUGCAUGUCCGAAGCAAAGAAAGACUGGCAGGAGAUUUUUUUUGGAAGGAAGUAGUAAUGAAACUAUCACGCUGGUUCUAUUUAUUGCUUCCACGCACAUUUUUGAUAGCUAACAUUAGCAUUAGCAUUUUGAUUUGAACAUCAAAAAUCACUUACUAGCCCAGCAGGAACAGAGCCAAGGUAGCAUCGGUCUUAAAUUUAUUUAUUUAUUUAAAUUUAUUGUCUUUGAAAUCACGCUGGCGAGUGAAAGCCGGGUCAAUGUUGAUCCUGACUGUCCUUUUAUCCGGGUAAACUCCGUUGUUCUUUUUUUGUUUUCUCAGACAAAACUUUUUGUUUAUUUGGUUGUUUGUUUUGGUUUGAUAGCAUCAAUAGCACAUAGCUUGCCAAAGAUUGUAAUAAAUCUAUUAAAAGAAGACAGCCUUAACUUGGACACACACAUCUAUACCUUUUGCCAUUAAU